rnacentral:rRNA from 1 species
CCUACGGGAGGCAGCAGUGAGGAAUAUUGGUCAAUGGCCGGAAGGCUGAACCAGCCAUGCCGCGUGAAGGUCAGUGCCCUAUGGGCGUUAAACUUCUUUUGUGCGGGAGCAAUAAUGGUCACGUGUGGCCAGACGAGAGUACCGUACGAAUAAGCAUCGGCUAACUCCGUGACAGCAGCCGCGGUAAGACGGGGGAUGCAAGCGUUAUCCGGAUUUAUUGGGGUUAAAGGGUGCGUAGGCUGUGAGGUAAGUCAGCGGUGAAAUGCCCCCGCUCAACGGGGUGAAGUGCCAUUGAUACUGCCUUGCUGGAAUGCGGAUGCCGUGGGAGGAAUGUGUGGUGUAGCGGUGAAAUGCAUAGAUAUCACACAGAACACCGAUUGCGAAGGCAUCUCACGAAUCCGCGAUUGACGCUGAUGCACGAAAGCGUGGGUAUCAAACAGGAUUAGAUACCCCAGUAGUC